GAACUGAAGAGUUUGAUCAUGGCUCAGAUUGAACGCUGGCGGCAGGCCUAACACAUGCAAGUCGAGCGGAUGAAGGGGGCUUGCUCCUGGAUUCAGCGGCGGACGGGUGAGUAAUGCCUAGGAAUCUGCCUGGUAGUGGGGGAUAACGUCCGGAAACGGGCGCUAAUACCGCAUACGUCCUGAGGGAGAAAGUGGGGGGUCUUCGGACCUCACGCUAUCAGAUGAGCCUAGGUCGGAUUAGCUAGUUGGUGGGGUAAAGGCCUACCAAGGCGACGAUCCGUAACUGGUCUGAGAGGAUGAU
rnacentral:rRNA from 1 species